UAUUCGGAAUUAUUGGGCGUAAAGGGCGCGCAGGCGGUCUUGUCCGUCAGGUGUGAAAGCUCGGGGCUCAACCCCGGAAGUGCACUUGAAACAGCAAGACUUGAAUACGGGAGAGGAGAGAGGAAUUCCUGGUGUAGAGGUGAAAUUCGUAGAUAUCAGGAGGAACACCGAUGGCGAAGGCAUCUCUCUGGACCGAUAUUGACGCUGAGGCGCGAAGGCGUGGGUAGCGAACGGGAUUAGAUACCCCGGUAGUCCACGCAGUAAACGUUGUACACUCGGUGUGGCGGAUAUUAAAAUCUGCUGUGCCCAAG
rnacentral:rRNA from 1 species